CGGAGGGUGCAAGCGUUAUCCGGAUUCACUGGGUUUAAAGGGUGCGUAGGCGGGCAAGUAAGUCAGUGGUGAAAUCUCUGGGCUUAACCCAGAAACUGCCGUUGAUACUAUUUGCCUUGAAUAUCAUGGAGGUAAGCGGAAUAUGUCAUGUAGCGGUGAAAUGCUUAGAUAUGACAUAGAACACCGAUAGCGAAGGCAGCUUACUACAUGUUCAUUGACGCUGAGGCACGAAAGCGUGGGGAGCAAACAGGAUUAGAUACCCUGGUAGUCCACGCCCUAAACGAUGGAUACUCGACAUCAGCGAUACACUGUUGGUGUCUGAGCGAAAGCAUUAAGUAUCCCACCUGGGAAGUACGACCGCAAGGUUG
rnacentral:rRNA from 1 species